UUUUUUUUACUUUUACUUUAAUGUACCUUCAUUUUUGGGUACUAGGAGUCUUGUCUAGUGUGUUUUUUGUUUUUUGUUUUUCAUUUUUUUUACUCUACAUAAUGUGGUGUAAAUCCUAGUUUCCUUUUACUCAGAAAGCUCAAAGCAAGGAGGAAUAAAGCGAUGGUAAGACAUAAGAAAUGGGCACUCACCAUGAAUUUGUUUGUGUAGAAGAGUUUCAAUGAAGAGAAGUGAUGCAGGUAUUAGUCUGAUGCCUUUCUCUGAGGUUAUGAUCUUUACAAAAUCCCCCAUGGUUAGAUCAUAAGUAGAAUGAAAAUUUUAGAGUCCUAAGUAUGGCCUUUCUAAGGUUCUCUUUUAAAACACAAGUUAAUAGGUUCAUUAUGUUGCAUCACUAGUUUGGUAUCUCUUAAAUUCUAUUUAUUAUUAUGUCUGCAUUCCAUAUUUUGACAAAUUGAAAAAUACCAGUAGACGUUGCUUUAUAUUUUUAUUAUAAAGCAACCAAAUAUUUUAUUAUACUAAAAACAAUCUUUA